CUGAGAUGGGACAGCACGCGAGCAGAGCAGCGGUGCAAGCCGCCCCUCGGGGCAAACCGCAGCGCUUCUCUCCGCCCAUGGCUGCCCAGGCCACGGCCCGUCCCCAACCUCAGCCCUCAUCCUCUGCGAUGGAGGAGAGAAAGCCCUCCUGCCCUGCUGAGGCCAAGGAGAAGGACAAACUCCCCCAGGAGCCCACUGCUGUGCCGCCCGCUCCCCCCUUGGAUGCCCCUGGGCUGCCCAUGUGUGCUGUGGAGCGUUACGCGAUGGACAACAUUGAGGCCUUUCUCCGGAGCACAGAGCCUCAGAAUGAGGAGAAGAAGAUGAAGUUCCUGUGCAGCAUCCGCACCAUCUGCGGCUCCGCAGCAGAGAGGAACACGGUGCAGGAACUGCGCAUCUUCUGCCGCCGGAACGAACUUGUGGAGAACAUCAUGG
rnacentral:lncRNA from 1 species